rnacentral:rRNA from 1 species
CUCGUAGGCGGUUUGAUAAGUCCUGUGUGAAAUCCCUUGGCUUAACCAAGGAACUGCGCCGGAUACUGUCGAACUAGAGGCCGGGAGAGGGAAGCGGAAUUCCGAGUGUAGCGGUGAAAUGCGUAGAUAUUCGGAGGAACACCGGUGGCGAAGGCGGCCUCCUGGACCGGUUCUGACGCUAAAGGGCGAAAGCUAGGGUAGCAAAC